rnacentral:tRNA from 1 species
GCGGCAGUGGCGGAAUUGGCAGACGCGCUAGAUUCAGGGUCUAGUGGCUCGUGGGGUCGUGGGGGUUCAAGUCCCUUCUGCCGCACCA